GACGAACGCUGGCGGCGUGCUUAACACAUGCAAGUCGAACGAUGAACCCGGAGCUUGCUCCGGUGGAUUAGUGGCGAACGGGUGAGUAACACGUGAGUAACCUGCCCUUGACUCUGGGAUAACUGCGGGAAACUGUAGCUAAUACCGGAUACGACCCUCGGCGGCAUCGCCAGGGGGUGGAAAGAAUUUCGGGCAAGGAUGGACUCGCGGCCGAUCAGCUAGUUGGUGAGGUAACGGCUCACCAAGGCGACGACGGGCAGCCGGCCUGAGAGGGUGACCGGCCACACUGGGACGGGGACACGGCCCAGACUGCUACGGGAGGCAGCAGUGGGGAAUAUUGCACAAUGGGAGCAAGGCUGAUGCAGCAACGCCGCGUGAGGGAUGCCGGCCUUCGGGUUGUAAACCUCUUUUAGUAGGGGAGAAGCGAAAGUGACGGUACCUGCAGAAAAAGCACCGGCUAACUACGUGCCAGCAGCCGCCGUAA
rnacentral:rRNA from 1 species